UCGCAGGGCGGGGCUGGUGGCUACUAGGCGGAGACUCCCUAAGGAGUAUUCCACCCGGGACUGUCUCGUUCUAAGGGACGUGCUAGCCGGGAUGGCCCUGAGCGACGAGCUUGCGAUGGGUACAGCCGACGAGGCAGAGGACGACGCAUCAACCCGCGGCGCAGCCCUGGAAGCGUUCAGCGAGAGCGAGGAGACCCGCGCGCUGCUCGGCCGCCUGCAGGCGGUGCACGGCGAGCGCAGGGCGCGGGAGGUGGUGGAGGAGCGGUUCCGCGUAAUAUUGGACAAAUAUCAGGAGCAGCCUCACCUGUUGGAUCCACACCUUGAGUGGAUGAUGAACUUGUUGCUGGACAUAGUGCAGGACAGGACCUCACCUGGCACCCUUGUACAUCUGGCUUUUAAAUUUCUGUACAUCAUCACCAAGGUUCGAGGAUAUAAAAUAUUUCUUCGUUUAUUUCCUCAUGAAGUAGCUGAUGUGCAGCCUGUGUUAGAUAUGAUCUCAGAGCAGAACCCCGCAGACCAUGAGACGUGGGAGACCCGCUACAUGCUUUUACUGUGGCUCUCUAUGACCUGCUUGAUCCCUUUCGACCUUUCACGCCUUGAUGGGAACUUGAGCACCGAGGUGGGGCAGGCCCAGAAGCCCAUCAUGGACCGCAUUCUGCAGAUAGCAGAGUCCUACUUGCUUGUCAGUGACAAAGCUCGAGAUGCGGCUGCUGUCCUGGUGUCUAGGUUUAUCACACGCCCUGAUGUCAAGCAGAGGAAGAUGGCCGGGUUCCUGGACUGGAGCCUCAGCACCUUGGCCCGCUCCUCCUUCCACACCAUCGAUGGAGUCAUUGCCAUAGACGGGACACUGCAGGCUCUGGCACAAAUAUUUAAACAUGGGAAACGUGAAGACUGUCUCCCCUAUGCUGCUGUUGUGCUGCAGUGCCUGGACAACUGCAGGCUCCCUGAGAGCAACCAGACCCUACUGCGAAAGCUGGCUGUGAAGCUGGUGCAGCGGCUGGGGCUGACCUUCCUGAAGCCAAAGGUAGCUGCCUGGAGGUACCAGCGUGGUUCCCGAUCCUUGGCUGCUAACCUGCAGCUCUGCCCCCUGGCUCCAAAUGAGCUGAAGCUACCUGCUGCGACGUGUGAUGGAGACGAGGACUAUGAUGUCCCAGAAGGGGUAGAGAGUGUCAUAGAGCAGCUUCUGGGUGGCCUGAAGGACAGAGACACGGUGGUGCGCUGGUCUGCAGCCAAAGGAAUCGGCAGGAUGGCAGGGCGGCUUCCCCGAGAGCUGGCCGAUGAUGUGGUUGGAUCUGUACUGGACUGCCUCAGUUUUCAGGAGACGGACAAGGCGUGGCACGGUGGAUGUCUGGCACUGGCGGAACUGGGCAGGCGAGGCCUGUUGCUUCCAUCACGACUCUCAGAGGUGGUUGCUGUGAUCCUGAGGGCUGUGACCUAUGAGGAGAAGCGAGGAGCCUGCAGUGUGGGUGCCAACGUCAGGGAUGCCGCCUGCUACGUGUGCUGGGCCUUUGCACGUGCCUAUGACCCGCAGGAGCUAUCACCCUUUGUGGCUGCCAUUGCCAGUGCCCUGGUCAUCGCAGCAGUAUUUGACCGGAAUGUGAACUGCAGGAGAGCUGCUUCAGCUGCCUUCCAGGAGAAUGUGGGGAGACAGGGUACCUUCCCUCAUGGAAUCGAUAUCGUGACCACAGCAGACUACUUUGCAGUUGGCAACACCGCUAACUGUUUCCUUGUUAUAAGCGUGUCCAUUGCCAGCUUCUCCGAGUAUACCCAGCCAAUGAUCGACCACCUGGUUGCCAUGAAAAUCAGCCACUGGGACGGGGCCAUCCGAGAACUGUCAGCCAAGGCACUGCAUCGGCUCACCCCACAAGCACCUCAGUACUUCGCCACGCACGUGCUCCCUGCCCUGCUGCCCAUGACGCUGAGUCCAGAUCUGCACAUGCGGCACGGCGCCAUUCUUGGCUGUGCAGAGGUCACCUACGCCUUGUACAAGCUGGCAGUGCAGGGGGACAGGUCACUCACAGACUACCUGGAUGAGAAGGUGGUGCAGGGCCUGAGGCAGAUCCACCAGCAGCUCUCUGACCGUCACCUGUACAGGGGCGGUGGAGGAGAACUCAUGAGACAAGCAGUGUGUGUCCUGAUAGAGAACCUGUCACUCUCCAGAAUGCCCUUCAAAGGUGAACCUGUCAUUGAUGGCUGGCAGUGGCUGAUAGAUGACACACUGAGAAACCUCCACCUCGUCUCAAGCCAGUCCAGACAGCAGAUCAAGGACGCAGCUGUGUCGGCUCUGGCUGCUGUCUGCAACGAGUACUAUCAGAAGGAGCCCCGGGCGGCCAGUCCCACCAUCCAGGAGGUGCUCAUCCCGAGGUACCUUGUCGAGCUCCAGAGCCCAGAGGAGAUGGUUCGCUGUGGCUUUGCAUCCGCCCUAGGCGCCCUGCCCGACUUCCUCCUUCGAGGCCGGCUCCGACAGGUCCUGGAUGGUCUGAGCGUGGUCACCCGCACCUCCCCAAAGGACAUGGCCUUCGCCGAGGCUAGGAGGGACAGCUUGAGGGCCAUCUCUAGGAUCUGCCAGACUGUGGGCGUGAAGGCAGAAGCCGCCCCAGACGAAGCUGUGUGCAGACAGAAUGUUGCCCAGGUGUACACCACGCUGCUGGGCUGCAUGGGAGACUACACCACAGACAGCAGGGGUGACGUGGGGGCCUGGGUCCGCGAGGCCGCUAUGACGAGCCUAAUGGACCUGACAUUGCUGCUGGCGCGGACACAGCCCUCACUGAUCGAGGCCCGCAUCUGUGAGCAAGUCAUGUGCUGCAUGGCCCAGCAGGCAAGUGAGAAGAUCGACCGGUUCCGUGCUCAUGCUGCCCGUGUGUUCCUCAUGCUUCUGUACUGCGACGGCACCCCUGUGCCCCAUGUGCCCCACCGCAGGGAACUGGAAGCGCUGCUCCCCAGGUCCGACGUGGCCACUGUGAACUGGAACGCACCUUCCCAGGCCUUCCCACGCAUCACCCAGCUCCUGGGGCUGCCCACCUACCGCUACCAUGUGCUGCUGGGGCUGGCCGUGUCUGUGGGUGGCCUGACUGAGUCCACGGUCAAGCACUCCACCCAGAGCCUUUUCAAGUAUAUGAAGGGGAUUCAGCAGGACCCCCAGGCCCUGGGCAGCUUCAGUGAUACCCUCCUGCAGGUCUUUGAGGACAACCUCCUGAAUGACAGAGUGUCUGUGUCGCUGCUGAAGAUGCUGGAUCAGAUGCUGUCCAAUGGCUGCUUUGACAUCUUCACCAGGGAGGAGAACCACCCGUUCUGUGUGAAGUUGCUUGCGCUCUGUAAAGAAGAGAUUAAGAAGUCGAAAGACAUCCAGAAACUUCGGUCCAGCAUUGCAGUGCUCUGUGGGAUGGUGCAGUUCUGUGGUGAUGUGAGAAGGAAGGUGCUUCUGCAGCUGAUGCUGCUCCUCUGCCAUCCGUUCCCUGUGAUCCGGAAGGCCACGGCAAGCCAGGUGUAUGAGAUGGUGCUCACCUACAGCGGUGUGCUGAGUGCUGAUGUCCUGGAUGAGGUCAUGGCUGUGCUCAGCGACACAGCCUGGGAUGCCGAGCUCGCAGUUGUCAGAGGGCAGCGGAAUCGCUUGUGUGACCUCCUCGGUGUGCCCACACCCCAGCUGGUCCCUAAGGGAGGUUCUAUAGGCAGGGGAUGCUGUUUCCUGCUUAAAGCUUUGGUUUUCCUUUCCCUUGGUUUCCCCUGAGGGCUAAGCCCUGCUAAGUGCCUCCUUAUGCCUGCGGAUCAUUUUGCAGCCCUGCUGGACAUCUUUUUUCACUUGUUUUAGCAAGUUUUCACAUUAAAGCCUGGAGCCCCCUGAAGCUGGUCCAGUAUUGAGCUGUUGUGCCUGCCGAGCAGGAACAUCCCGAUCUGAUGCUGCUGACUGGCCUGGUUCUGGGUGCUGAUGUCCACAGAGGGCCACGCCUCUUCUUCACACGCACAUGUCUGCUGUUGCCUCACACAAAUGUGCUUCCCAUAAACCAUAUUUCAAACAGC